rnacentral:ribozyme from 1 species
GAAACAAAACAAAACAAACAAACAAAACACAACAAAGAUCGAAUCACAAAGCCGUUUACAAUUCUAAUUAUCAAUCCACUUCAUUUUCUUUCUUCCAUUUGGAUCAUCUAUCCUCUUCU